GAUGAACGCUAGCUACAGGCUUAACACAUGCAAAUCGAGGGGCAGCAUGACGAUAGCUUGCUAUUGUUGAUGGCGACCGGCGCACGGGUGAGUAACGCGUAUCCAACCUGCCCUUGUCCACCGGAUAACCCGUCGAAAGGCGGACUAACACGGUAUGCAGUUCUCAGCGGGCAUCUAACGAGAACGAAAUGUAAAGGAGAAGGAUGGGGAUGCGUCUGAUUAGCUUGUUGGCGGGGUAACGGCCGACCAAGGCGACGACCAGUAGGGGUUCUGAGAGGAGGGUCCCUCACAAUGGAGCUGAGACACGGUCCAAGCUCCUACGGGAGGCAGCAGUGAGGAAUAUUAGUAAAUGGGCGAGAGCCUGAACCAGCCAAGUAGCGUGCAGGAAGACGUCCCUAUGGGUUGUAAACUGCUUUUAUACGGGGAUAAAGUGGGUCACGUGUGGCUUAUUGCAGGUACCGUAUGAAUAAGGGCCGGCUAAUUCCGUGCCAGCCGCCGCGGUAA
rnacentral:rRNA from 1 species